UCCAUUUAUCUGGAGAAUGUAAUAACGUAAGGGAAAAAAAUGAUAUUACCUUACUAUUAGUGUUGUCCAAAACUGGUGCCAGAAGACUCGGUAAGGCCAGAGACGCAAACGUUAGUCGUCUUAAUCAGGCGUAAAGGGUAUGUAGGCUGCUUUAAAAGUUUAAUGAUAUCAAAGAUAUAUGUCCGCAGUCCUACGGUAAAAAUUAAGUAGAAUAAAAAUGCUUAAUUUUAACCGUAGGUCCGCAGUCUUACGGAAAAAUUAGAUGAAUUAAAGCUAGAAUCAAAUUGAGGAUAAUUAAAUAAUACUUAGUGUAGGGUUUAAAUCUGAUGAUACUAGGGGGAGUACUAACGGUGAAAGCUUUUUAUCUAGUAAUGAUUGACGCUGAGAAACGAAGGUGAGAAUAGGAAAUAGGAUUAGAUACCCAGAUACCUCUCACAGUCAACGAUGAAUGGUAGUUGUUAGUUAGUUUUAUUUAACUGAUAACGAUGUUAACACGAUAACCAUUCCGCCUUGCGAGUACGGUUGCAAAACUGAAACCAAAAAAAUUAGUCGGUCUCGAAGCAAACGAAGUGAAGCAUGUUAUUUA
rnacentral:rRNA from 1 species